GAUGAACGCUGGCGGCGUGCUUAACACAUGCAAGUCGAACGAAGCACUUAAUGAGAUUUCUUCGGAUUGAUUAUUUUGUGACUGAGUGGCGGACGGGUGAGUAACGCGUGGGUAACCUGCCCCCAGACCGGGGGAUAACAGUCGGAAACGACUGCUAAUACCGCAUAAGCGCACAGUGCCGCAUGGCACAGUGUGAAAAACUCCGGUGGUCUGGGAUGGACCCGCGUCCGAUUAGUUAGUUGGCGGGGUAACGGCCCACCAAGACCGCGAUCGGUAGCCGACCUGAGAGGGUGACCGGCCACAUUUGGGGACUGAGACACGGCCCAGACUCCUACGGGAGGCAGCAGUGGGGAAUAUUGCACAAUGGAGGAAACUCUGAUGCAGCGACGCCGCGUGAGCGAAGAAGUAUUUCGGUAUGUAAAACUCUAUCAGCAGGGAAGAUAAUGACGGUACCUGACUAAGAAGCACCGGCUAAAUACGUGCCAGCAGCAG
rnacentral:rRNA from 1 species